GUGGGGAAUAUUGGACAAUGGGCGAAAGCCUGAUCCAGCCAUGCCGCGUGUGUGAAGAAGGUCUUCGGAUUGUAAAGCACUUUAAGUUGGGAGGAAGGGCAGUAAGUUAAUACCUUGCUGUUUUGACGUUACCGACAGAAUAAGCACCGGCUAACUUCGUGCCAGCAGCCGCGGUAAUACGAAGGGUGCAAGCGUUAAUCGGAAUUACUGGGCGUAAAGCGCGCGUAGGUGGUUUUGUAAGUUGGAGGUGAAAUCCCCGGGCUCAACCUGGGAACUGCCUCCAAAACUGCAUGACUAGAGUACGGUAGAGGGUAGUGGAAUUUCCUGUGUAGCGGUGAAAUGCGUAGAUAUAGGAAGGAACACCAGUGGCGAAGGCGACUACCUGGACUGAUACUGACACUGAGGUGCGAAAGCGUGGGGAGCAAACAGGAUUAGAUACACUUGUAGUCC
rnacentral:rRNA from 1 species